UCCAGACUCCUACGGGAGGCAGCAGUAGGGAAUCUUUCACAAUGGGCGAAAGCCUGAUGGAGCAACGCCGCGUGCAGGAUGAAGGCCUUCGGGUUGUAAACUUCUUUUAUAAGCGAGAAAUAUGAUGGUAACUUAUGAAUAAGGAUCGGCUAACUACGUGCCAGCAGCCGCGGUAAUACGUAGGGGGCAAGCGUUAUCCGGAUUUACUGGGUGUAAAGGGAGCGUAGACGGCGGUGCAAGCCAGAUGUGAAAGCCCGGGGCUCAACCCCGGGACUGCAUUUGGAACUGUGCUGCUAGAGUGUCGGAGAGGCAGGCGGAAUUCCUAGUGUAGCGGUGAAAUGCGUAGAUAUUAGGAGGAACACCAGUGGCGAAGGCGGCCUGCUGGACUGCAACUGACGUUGAGGCUCGAAGGCGUGGGGAGCAAACAGGAUUAGAUACCCCGGUAC
rnacentral:rRNA from 1 species